rnacentral:rRNA from 1 species
AACGUAGGACUCGAGCGUUAUCCGGAAUCAUUGGGCGUAAAGCGUACCGAUAGGUGGUUUAUAAAGUCUUGGGUAAAAGCCGGAAGCUUAACUUCCGCGUUUGCUUAAGAUACUUAUAGACUAGAGGGGCAAAGAGGUGCUUGGAACCAACGGUGUAGUAGUGAAAUGCGUUGAUAUCGUUGGGAACACCGAAAGCGAAGGCAGAGCACUGGGUGCCACCUGACACUGCUAGGACGAAAGCGUGGGGAGCGAAUGGG